ACGCACGCUGGCGGCAGGCUUAACACCUGCCAGUCGAACGGAUCCUUCGGGAUUAGUGGCAGACGGGUGAGUAACGCGUGGGAACGUACCCUUUGCUACGGAAUAACUCAGGGAAACUUGAGCUAAUACCGUAUGUGCCCUACGGGGGAAAGAUUUAUCGGCAAAGGAUCGGCCCGCGUUGGAUUAGCUAGUUGGUGGGGUAAUGGCCUACCAAGGCGACGAUCCAUAGCUGGUCUGAGAGGAUGAUCAGCCACACUGGGACUGAGACACGGCCCAGACUCCUACGGGAGGCAGCAGUGGGGAAUAUUGGACAAUGGGCGCAAGCCUGAUCCAGCCAUGCCGCGUGAGUGAUGAAGGUCUUAGGAUUGUAAGGCUCUUUCACCGGUGAAGAUAAUGACGGUAGCCGGAGAAGAAGCCCCGGCUAACUUCGUG
rnacentral:rRNA from 1 species